rnacentral:other from 1 species
UGUUCCCUGUGGUGUUCGAACUGUCCAUAUACUCUUUGAACCAAUGCUAAAUUAGCGAGGUUGCCCUGCCUUCGGCGGGCUGGUGUGCGCUCCCACGCGGAAGCGCCUGAAGGCCCCGGCGGGCGACCCUCUUGAACCCCGGUUCAAGAUGACGGGCGGUACGGCAUUUGCGGGGAACAC